AUUGAACGCUGGCGGCAUGCUUUACACAUGCAAGUCGAACGGCAGCGCGGGCUUCGGCCUGGCGGCGAGUGGCGAACGGGUGAGUAAUACAUCGGAACGUGCCCAGUUGUGGGGGAUAGCUCGGCGAAAGCCGGAUUAAUACCGCAUACGACCUGAGGGUGAAAGCGGGGGAUCUUCGGACCUCUCGCUAUUGGAGCGUCCGAUGGCAGAUUAGCUAGUUGGUGGGGUAAAGGCCUACCAAGGCGACGAUCUGUAGCUGGUCUGAGAGGACGACCAGCCACACUGGAACUGAGACACGGCCCAGGCUCCUACGGGAGGCAGCAGUGGGGAAUUUUGGACAAUGGGCGAAAGCAUGAUCCAGCAAUGCCGAGUGUGAGAUGAAGGCGUUCGGGUUGUAAAGCACUUUUGGCGGGAACGAAAAGGACUGUGCCAAUACCACGGUUGGAUGACGGUACCCGCAGAAUAAGCACCGGCUAACUACGUG
rnacentral:rRNA from 1 species